AACGAACGCUGGCGGCAUGCCUAACACAUGCAAGUCGAACGAGACCUUCGGGUCUAGUGGCGCACGGGUGCGUAACGCGUGGGAAUCUGCCCUUUGCUUCGGAAUAACAGUUAGAAAUGACUGCUAAUACCGGAUGAUGUCUUCGGACCAAAGAUUUAUCGGCAAAGGAUGAGCCCGCGUAGGAUUAGGUAGUUGGUGGGGUAAAGGCCUACCAAGCCGACGAUCCUUAGCUGGUCUGAGAGGAUGAUCAGCCACACUGGGACUGAGACACGGCCCAGACUCCUACGGGAGGCAGCAGUGGGGAAUAUUGGACAAUGGCGAAAGCCUGAUCCAGCAAUGCCGCGUGAGUGAUGAAGGCCUUCGGGUCGUAAAGCUCUUUUACCAGGGAUGAUAAUGACAGUACCUGGAGAAUAAGCUCCGGCUAACUCCGUGCCAGCAGCCGCGGUAAU
rnacentral:rRNA from 1 species